rnacentral:rRNA from 1 species
AUUGAACGCUGGCGGCAGGCCUAACACAUGCAAGUCGAGCGGAUGAGAGGAGCUUGCUUCUCGAUUCAGCGGCGGACGGGUGAGUAAUGCCUAGGAAUCUGCCUGAUAGUGGGGGACGACGUUUCGAAAGGAACGCUAAUACCGCAUACGUCCUACGGGAGAAAGCAGGGGACCUUCGGGCCUUGCGCUAUCAGAUGAGCCUAGGUCGGAUUAGCUAGUUGGUGAGGUAAUGGCUCACCAAGGCGACGAUCCGUAACUGGUCUGAGUGGAUGAUCAGUCACACUGGAACUGAGACACGGUCCAGACUCCUACGGGAGGCAGCAGUGGGGAAUAUUGGACAAUGGGCGAAAGCCUGAUCCAGCCAUGCCGCGUGUGUGAAGAAGGUCUUCGGAUUGUAAAGCACUUUAAGUUGGGAGGAAGGGUUGUAGAUUAAUACUCUGCAAUUUUGACGUUACCGACAGAAUAAGCACCGGCUAACUCUGUGCCAGCCGCCGCAGUAAAAC